ACUUAAACAAAGAAAGUAAUGUUUCAUAUUUCUUUAAUAAACAAGGAAAAAAAUUUAGUUAGCUAAGAAAAACAUCAAAAAAUUCACUUGUUACAAAAUGACGAAGAGUUAUUUAUUUAGAAUACGUCUAACCCAUUGUAGAUACGAGGAUUGACUAAUAAAAUCUUUUACUAUUGAUGUUUUGUAAAUAAUUUCUCCAUUCUUUUUCUAUCUUUUAUGUUUAACAACCUGCCCACCCUGAAAACGGCUCAGCCGGAGGUAGGGUCCAGAGCCUGAAAGAGCACCGCACGUUGCGUGGUGUCCGGUGCGCCCUCAGUGGCCCUUGAAAAUCCGAAGGACUGAGUGCCGACCACGCCUAGUUGAACUCAUCAUAACCACAUAAGGUCUCCAAGGUGAACAACCUCUGGU
rfam:Beta vulgaris subsp. vulgaris Bvchr4.sca003.con0008.1, whole genome shotgun sequence.